AGUGAACGCUGGCGGUAGGCCUAACACAUGCAAGUAGAACGGCAGCACAGUAAGAGCUUGCUCUUACGGGUGGCGAGUGGCGGACGGGUGAGGAAUACAUCGGAAUCUACUCUUUCGUGGGGGAUAACGUAGGGAAACUUACGCUAAUACCGCAUACGACCUACGGGUGAAAGCAGUGGAUCUUCGGACCUUGCGCGAUUGAAUGAGCCGAUGUCGGAUUAGCUAGUUGGCGGGGUAAAGGCCCACCAAGGCGACGAUCCGUAGCUGGUCUGAGAGGAUGAUCGGCCACACUGGAACUGAGACACGGUCCAGACCCCUACGGGAGGCAGCAGUGGGGAAUAUUGGACAAUGGGCGCAAGCCUGAUCCAGCCAUACCGCGUGGGUGAAGAAGGCCUUCGGGUUGUAAAGCCCUUUUGUUGGGAAAGAAAAGCAGCAGGUUAAUACCCCGCUGUUCUGACGGUACCCAAAGAAUAAGCACCGGCUAACUUCGUG
rnacentral:rRNA from 1 species